AUGGGCCUAGAAUAUAUUUAACAUAUGCAAAUUCCAGAAAUGAACAAUAUUAGCAUUUAAAUUAAAAAGGGAUGUAUUAGAGAGUUAGUUACUUGUUAGUUAGUUGAUUAUUUGCCUAAUAGAUCUGAGGAAAAUAUCAAGAAUACAUCACAGUGAACUUAAAGAUGAUGAUUGAGUUAAGCAGACAGAAUAAGAACCUGGAUAUAUGUCUAAAGACACUCUAGAUAGUGGGAAAAAAAGAGGUAAGCAAGAGAGGCUACACUUAAAUAGAAAGUGAAUUUCUUUUAGAAAUAUAGAAAGAUGUGUUCUCAAACUAAGAGAGCACGGUGAGCUCUGAGUAGGAAAAGUAAGGCAAUCUCCACUUUCACAACAUCAAAAUAAGGAAUACUUUUUCCUUCUAUAUGUAUAUAGGAAUUUUAGUAAUAAUUGCACAAUUUUAAUAUAUAUGGUAACAUCUAAGAGUCACUUCUAACUGUGCUGACUAGCAAUUUGAUCUUAAAUAAGCACAUAAUCUUUUCAGCCUUAGUUUACUCAUCUGAAAACUGGGAAUAACAUCACUGAUUCUAACUAUGUCAGUGUGCUAUGCUAAAUAAAAAAGAAGGCAUCCUAUUUUGAAGUUAUGUGAGAAACUAUAAAGGAAUACGUAAAUACAAGCUGCUUGCUAUCUCCAUUACUGAUUUGGAACCUUAAAGUGCCGUUAUUUACCUUUCAUCCGUCAAAUUAUUAUUUCAAAUAUUAAAAUGUUUAUCAAUAGGAAAAAAUAAAAUCAGAAAACUAUUGGAAUGUGAUGGUAGUCAUUUAGGGAAGAAAGUUAAAAGACAAUUGGUGGGUCAUAUUUUGAAGAUGGAUCACUGAACAAAAGUGAAGCUUUUUUUUUUUUGCCAUGUGAUUCUAUCAUACAAGGCCCGAUAGGAGGCACCAGGUAUCUGGACUGGUACCUGGAAUGAAAGAUAUAUCAAGUGACACACUCUGUGUCAUGGGUCUCUAAUACUAACCCCAA
rnacentral:lncRNA from 1 species